AACGAACGCUGGCGGCAUGCCUAACACAUGCAAGUCGAACGAAACCUUCGGGUCUAGUGGCGCACGGGGUCGUAACGCGUGGGAACCUGCCCUUAGGUUCGGAAUAACUCCCCGAAAGGGGUGCUAAUACCGGAUAAUGUCUUCUGACCAAAGAUUUAUCGCCUGUGGAUGGGCCCGCGUUGGAUUAGCUAUUUGGUAGGGUAAAAGCCUAACAAGGUGACGAUCCAUAAUUGGUCUGAGAGGCGGAUCAGCCACCCUGGGACUGAGACACGGCCCAGACUUCUACGGGAGGCAGAAGUGGGGCAUAGUGGACACGGGGCGGAAGCCUGAGCCAGCAAUGCCGAGUGAGCGAUGAAGGCCUGAGGGUUGUAAAGCUCUUUUCCCCGGGAUGAUAAUGACAGCACAGGGAGAAUACGCCCGGGAUAAACCCG
rnacentral:rRNA from 1 species